rnacentral:rRNA from 1 species
UACAGAGGUCUCAAGCGUUGUUCGGAUUCAUUGGGCGUAAAGGGUGCGUAGGCGGCGCGGUAAGUCGGGUGUGAAAUCUCGGAGCUUAACUCCGAAACUGCAUUCGAUACUGCCGUGCUUGAGGACUGGAGAGGAGACUGGAAUUUACGGUGUAGCGGUGAAAUGCGUAGAUAUUAGGAGGAACACCAGAGGCGAAGGCGGCCGGCUGGACCUGACCUGACGCUGAGGCACGAAGGCGUGGGGAGCGAACGGG